UGGGACGAGAAGACCCUAUAGAAUUUGAUAUAAUUAUUAAAUUUAUUUAAGGAAGUAUAUUUUAUUUAAAUAAUUAUAUUUUAUUGGGAGGAUAAUUAAAUAAGAUGAACUUUAGUUUAAAUAUAUAACUUAACAUUAAUUAAUGAAAUUUAAUAAAGGAAUGAUUAUUAAGUUAUUAAAAAAAAUUUUAUAAUAAUUAUUAAAAAAAUUAAUUACCUUAGGGAUAACAGCGUAAUAUUUUUAGAAAGAUCAUAUUAAUAAAAAUGAUUGCGACCUCGAU
rnacentral:rRNA from 3 species